UUUGAAGUGUUAAUGUCAAACUAAGAUGGAAGGAACAUAAUCCACUAUUUAGGGUUUGUGAAUAAUGAAAUAGCCGUUCUUAUAUACAGUUUUGUGACAUCCUCUGGACAACCUCUUCCUGAAUAUAAAUAGAUGUGAACAAAUUAAACCUUUCAUAUUGGUUAUAAAGGACCUUCAACCUCCAAAUGAUUUUGCAUAAAUUGGUUAUAACUUAUAAUGAAUAUUAUCAUGCAUAAACAAGGAUAUGUAUUUUCAGAAGUAUAAAAAUAUUUAAUAUUAACAAUCAAGGAGUUAAAAAUUAAACUAUAGUUACUAUGUAUAGUAUAUAUAUAAAGGAUAAAAUUACUUUGAAUUACAUUAAACAAGUUAGUUA
rnacentral:lncRNA from 1 species